CCAUCACCACCAUCAUCCUGACUAGUCUUUCAGGCGAUUGGUGCUGGAAGACAUACAGAUCUUCCAGUGGCGCGAACCAGCUGUUAAUGAGCCCCCGGAAGGUCAACCUUCCGGGGGCUUUUUUAU
rfam:Shimwellia blattae DSM 4481 = NBRC 105725, complete genome.